rnacentral:rRNA from 1 species
UACGGAGGGGGCUAGCGUUGUUCGGAAUUACUGGGCGUAAAGCGCACGUAGGCGGAUUGGAAAGUCAGAGGUGAAAUCCCAGGGCUCAACCUUGGAACUGCCUUUGAAACUCCCAGUCUUGAGGUCGUGAGAGGUGAGUGGAAUUCCGAGUGUAGAGGUGAAAUUCGUAAAUAUUCGGAGGAACACCAGUGGCGAAGGCGGCUCACUGGCACGAUACUGACGCUGAGGUGCGAAAGCGUGGGGAGCAAACAGG